UACGUAGGGUGCGAGCGUUGUCCGGAAUUAUUGGGCGUAAAGAGCUCGUAGGCGGUUUGUCACGUCUGCUGUGAAAUCCCGAGGCUCAACCUCGGGCCUGCAGUGGGUACGGGCAGACUGGAGUGCGGUAGGGGAGAAUGGAAUUCCUGGUGUAGCGGUGGAAUGCGCAGAUAUCAGGAGGAACACCUAUUGCGAAGGCAGCUCGCUGGGACGUAACUGACGCUGAGACGCGAAAGCGUGGGGAGCAAACAGG
rnacentral:rRNA from 1 species